rnacentral:sRNA from 1 species
AGGAAUUCAAUAAAGAAAAUGGCAGCUCUUACUCCAAGGAAGAGGAAGCAGGAUUCUUUGAAGUGUGACAGCCUUUUACACUUCACUGAAAAUCUGUUUCCAUCACCUAAUAAAAAGCACUGUUUUUAUCAAAACAGUGAUAAAAAUGAAGAAAACCUGCAUUGCUCUCAACAAGAGCAUUUUGUUUUAAGUGCGCUCAAAACAACUGAAAUAAAUAGACUGCCAUCAGCAAAUCAAGGCUCGCCAUUUAAAUCUGCGCUGUCCACUGUAUCUUUUUACAACCAAAAUAAGUGGUACCUCAAUCCACUGGAGAGAAAGCUGAUAAAAGAGAGUAGAUCUACUUGUCUAAAAACUAAUGAUGAAGAUAAAUCUUUUCCCAUUGUGACAGAAAAAAUGCAAGGAAAACCAGUCUGCUCCAAGAAGAACAACAAAAAACCACAGAAGAGUUUAACUGCUAAGUAUCAACCAAAGUAUAGACACAUCAAGCCUGUGUCAAGGAAUUCUAGAAAUUCCAAGCAAAAUCGAGUGAUCUAUAAGCCAAUUGUGGAGAAAGAAAAUAAUUGUCAUUCAGCUGAAAAUAAUCCCAAUGCUCCUCGGGUUCUGAGCCAAAAAAUAAAACCACAAGUUACACUCCAGGGUGGAGCAGCAUUUUUUGUUAGAAAAAAAUCUUCUCUUAGAAAAUGGUCCCUGGAAAAUGAGCCAUCACUGGGACGCACCCAAAAGAGUAAAUCAGAAGUCAUUGAAGAUUCUGAUGUAGAGACUGUCAGUGAAAAAAAAACUUUUGCGACAAGGCAAGUGCCAAAGUGCUUGGUCCUAGAAGAGAAAUUGAAAAUUGGACUACUGCGUGCAAGCAGUAAAAAUAAAGAGAAAUUAAUAAAGGUAAAGCUAAAUAUAUCACUUUAAAAAUGGCUGUAUAACAAAACUUCAGUAUAAAUGACAUAGUUGAAUAAAAUUUUAUUUUCUGGACUGCUUUUAUAAAGCCAGAUAGCAUAGUGUUUAGUUACUGUAAGGAGUUUGUUUAUUUAUUUAUUUUAAGACAGGGUCUUUCUUUAUGACCCAGGCUGUAGUGCAGUGGCACACUGCUCACUACAGCCUCAACCUCCUAGGCUCAAGCAAUCCCACCUCAGCCUCCCAAGUAGCUGGUACUAUAGGUGCACACCACCUCACCCGGCUAAUUCUUGCAUUUUUUGUAGAGGCUGGGGUUUCACCAUGUUGCCCAGGCUGGUCUCGCACUGCUGGGCUAUAGUGAUCUACCUGCCUCACCCUCCCAAAUUGCUGGGAUUAUGGGUGUGAACCACUGCACCUGGCCCAGCCACAUUUUAAGUUCUCAAUAGGUACAUGUAGCUGGUGGCUACCAUAUUAGACCAUGCUGGUCUAGAACUUCUGUUGCUGAUCUCCUGUUUAUAUCCUUCAUCAGAAAAAAAGUUGAGUUUUGUGGGGCAGCUAGGGGCAGAAAGCCAUUGAAGCAACCUUAAGAAAGGUUGUCUCCAGAUCAGGGCUUCCACGUAUGGUGGCUUGUUUAUAUUCAUCACAACCCUUGUAGCUGGAGAAAUGAUAGGCUUAUAUGAUACCCAGUACACUCAGGCUUAUAGUCAUGUCUUUCCUAACCCACCUCUCAUCAUUGCCUUCCUCACUAGGUUCUCUCAAAUUCAACCCCAGUCCAUAUCUCGUAAUCACCUAAAUUUCAAACCUCAGUGGCAAAGAUAAUAAAUUGGUGGCCAGUAAACCAAAUCUCACCCAUAAAUGUUUUGCUUGGCCUACAUAAUUUAAAAGUUGGAGCCAAAAUUAUUUAAAUACAAGAAAAACAUUUCUGGUGUCUCAUGAAAUAUUGAAAGCUGAGCCUUCAUUUCUACAUGGCAAUAAUCAGAGCUGAAUAUCAGGCUGAGUAUCAUACCAUUUGAUAAAUAUGGGUUCUUCAUUUCUCUAAGUCAGUGUAUAUCUAUCUAUUUAGAUCAGUUUAGUUUUGAUCAUUUUACUUACUGCUGCCCUUGUAAGGCAUUUAAGUUUUUAGUCCUCACUGUAAAUGUUUGUUUUUUUUCCUGUUUAUCAAGUGUGGCCAAGUAGAUUGUUAAAUGAGAUACGUUCUUGCUAGCUAAGCCAUGACAGUCUAAUUUUACUAAUUCAUUUUCUGUUUAUAUCAACAAAACACUUCUGUGUCUUGAUAGGGAUUUUGAUUACAAGAGUAAGCUUUAUCAAAAUGUAUUAAACUGUGCUUUAUACUUAUACAUUUGUAUGAAAAUUAAGUUUUUUGAAAGUUUGGGGCGUAACUCAAGCUAAAAUUGUCUCAAUCCAGUAAAACAAACGAAGAGUCUGCAGUUUCCCCAUGCAUCUCCUGAUGAUGAUUCUUAUCUGUUUGGUACAGCCUGGUGGUGUACCAAAUGAAUGGUGACCUGAUGAAUUCUCUGUAACCAGUGUAACAGAAUUCUGUAGUUCUCUUUUCUGUCUUUUCUUUUUCUUAGCUUCACUUUACGGGUUUGGUAUUGAGUUAGUUUUCAGUAGUUUGGGAAGCUGGGCUUUUGUGCAUUUUAAAUUUGUGGAACGGGGCUAUGCUCUUUCAGGAUUUUGCUAAAUACCCCUGUCUGGGAUUCGUCUCUGCUAGCUAAGGGCGAAUCUGAUUUUCUGUUUUUUUAUUUUGAGAUGGAGUCUCACUCCGUUGCCCAGGCUGGAGUGCAGUGGCAUGAUCUCGACUCACUGCAACCUCCGCCUCCCAGGUUCAAGCAAUUCUCUGCCUCAGCCUCCCAAGUAGCUGGGAUUAUAGGCACCGGCCACCACACCUGGCUAAUUUUUGUAUUUUUAGUAGAGAUGGGGUUUCACCCUCUCAGCCAGGCUGGUCUUGAACUCCUGACUUCGUGAUCCACCUGCCUUGGCCACCCAAAGUGCUGGUAUUACAGGUGUGAGCCACCGCACCCGGCCGGUGAAUCUGAUUUUCGUGAGGAUACCCUUUCCCCAACUCAUGGAGCCCUGAAAAGCGUUAAACUGAUGGGUUAUCCCACCUCUGCUGGGAUAUUGUGGUUUUGAGUAGAAGUUCUACUUUAACCAAGAGUUUUUUUCCUUUUUCCCCAAGCUAUAUAUUCCCUAGUAAUUCCCAAAUUAAUAUGAGGGAAAUCUGUCAGGAUUUUUUUCUACUUUGCUUUUCCCACAUUCCUGCUACUCUCCAGUGACUCUAUAAUGUUGUUCUUUCCUUAGCUGCUGAUUUUUAAAGUUUAUGGCAAAAAGUUGUCCCUUUCCAGUUUGGUGGCUGCUGGGGAAACUUUUGCCAUUUUUACUGACUUUUUUGUUCAUUUCAUUAUGGAAGUGAUGGUCUGUAAUCAUUCUGCCAUCUCUAUCAGGAAAUAUAACACAUUUUUGAGAGGAUGACAGAUUACAACACGUGUACUCUGGUGUUUUUUUCUUUUGAGACAGUCUUGCUCUGUCGCCAGGCUGGAGUGCAGUGGCACGAUCUUGGCUCACUGCAACCUCCGCCUCCUGGGUUCAAGCAAUUCUCCUGCCUCAGCCUCCCGAGUAGCUGGGACUACAGGUGCCACCACGCCCAGCUAAUUUUUGUAUUUUUAGUAGAGAUAGGGUUUCACCAUGUUAGCCAGGAUGGUCUCAAUCCCUUGACCUCACAAUCUAUCCACCUCGGCCUCCCAAGGUGCUGGCAUUACAGGCAUGAGCCACCGGGCCCUGCUGUACUCUGACUUUAAAGGUAAUGUACACUUAGUGAAUACAGGGGAAGUUUUCCUAAAAAUAGUUUGAAAAUUGAUUGAAAAUCACAUUAUGAAAUGUAAUUCAUAAUAAACCAAAUCUUUCGUUUUAGAAA